rnacentral:tRNA from 1 species
GGGGGAUUAGCUCAGUUGGCUAGAGCACCACGCUGGCAGCGUGGGGGUCAUCGGUUCGAAUCCGAUAUUCUCCA